rnacentral:lncRNA from 13 species
UGAAAUCAUGAGGACUUUACAGACGUAAACACUCAGGUUCAGAAUGUGAAAUACCUCAGUGACCCAUGUGACUCCCAACGCAGGCCAGCUAUAUCACAUCAGGACAAAGAUGAUAACAACUAACUGAGGAGCUG